GAUGAAGAACGUAGCAAAAUGCGAUAAGUAAUGUGAAUUGCAGAAUUCAGUGAAUCAUCGAAUCUUUGAACGCACAUUGCGCCCGCCAGUAUUCUGGCGGGCAUGCCUGUUCGAGCGUCAUUUCAACCCUCAAGCCCCCGGGCUUGGUGUUGGGGAUCGGCGUGCCCUCGCGGCGCGCCGUCCCCUAAAUCUAGUGGCGGUCUCGCUGUAGCUUCCUCUGCGUAGUAGCAACACUCGCACUGGAUCGCAGCGCGGCCACGCCGUUAAACCCCCCACUUCUGAAAGUUUGACCUCGGAUCAGGUAGGAAUACCCGCUGAACUUAAGCAUAUCAAUAAGCGGAGGA
rnacentral:misc_RNA from 1 species